rnacentral:rRNA from 1 species
GACGAACGCUGGCGGCGUGCUUAACACAUGCAAGUCGAACGGUGAACCUCUUCGGAGGGGAUCAGUGGCGAACGGGUGAGUAACACGUGGGCAACCUGCCCCCGGCUCUGGGAUAACUCCAAGAAAUUGGGGCUAAUACCGGAUGUUCACCGCUUCCCGCAUGGGUGGUGGUGGAAAGGGUUUCCGGCUGGGGAUGGGCCCGCGGCCUAUCAGCUUGUUGGUGGGGUAGUGGCCUACCAAGGCGACGACGGGUAGCCGGCCUGAGAGGGUGACCGGCCACACUGGGACUGAGACACGGCCCAGACUCCUACGGGAGGCAGAAGUGGGGAAUAUUGCGCAAUGGGCGGAAGCCUGACGCAGCGACGCCGCGUGGGGGAUGACGGCCUUCGGGUUGUAAACCUCUUUCAGCAGGGACGAAGCGCAAGUGACGGUACCUGCAGAGGAAGCACCGGCCAACUACGUG